GAUGAACGCUGGCGACGUGCCUAAUACAUGCAAGUCGAGCGAACGGACGAGAAGCUUGCUUCUCUGAUGUUAGCGGCGGACGGGUGAGUAACACGUGGAUAACCUACCUAUAAGACUUGGAUAACUUCGGGAAACCGGAGCUAAUACCGGAUGAUAUUUUGAACCGCAUGGUUCAAAAGUGAAAGACGGUCUUGCUGUCACUUAUAGAUGGAUCCGCGCUGCAUUAGCUAGUUGGUAAGGUAACGGCUUACCAAGGCAACGAUGCAUAGCCGACCUGAGAGAGUGAUCGGCCACACUGGAGCUGGGACACGGUCCAGGCUCCUGCGGGAGGCAGCAGUCGGGAAUCUGCCGCAAUGGGCGAAAGCCUGACGGAGCGACGCCGCGUGAGUGAUGAAGGUCUUCGGAUCGUAAAACUCUGUUAUUAGGGAAGAACAUAUGUGUAAGUAACUGUGCACAUCUUGACGGUACCUAAUCAGAAAGCCACGGCUAACUACGUG
rnacentral:rRNA from 1 species